UAGGGAAUCUUCCGCAAUGGGCGAAAGCCUGACGGAGCAACGCCGCGUGAGUGAUGAAGGUCUUCGGAUCGUAAAACUCUGUUAUUAGGGAAGAACAAAUGUGUAAGUAACUAUGCACAUCUUGACGGUACCUAAUCAGAAAGCCACGGCUAACUACGUGCCAGCAGCCGCGGUAAUACGUAGGGCGCAAGCGUUAUCCGGAAUUAUUGGGCGUAAAGAGCUUGUAGGCGGUUCGUCGCGUCUGGUGUGAAAGCCCAUCGCUUAACGGUGGGUUUGCGCCGGGUACGGGCGGGCUAGAGUGCAGUAGGGGAGACUGGAAUUCCCGGUGUAACGGUGGAAUGUGUAGAUAUCGGGAAGAACACCAAUGGCGAAGGCAGGUCUCUGGGCUGUUACUGACGCUGAGAAGCGAAAGCGUGGGGAGCGAACAGG
rnacentral:rRNA from 1 species